UACGGAAGGGGCAAGCGUUGUUCGGAUUUACUGGGCGUAAAGGGCGCGUAGGCGGCCUGUGCAAGUCAGUUGUGAAAUCUCCGAGCUUAACUCGGAAAGGUCAACUGAUACUGCUCGGCUAGAGUGCGGAAGGGGCAACUGGAAUUCUUGGUGUAGCGGUGAAAUGCGUAGAUAUCGAGAGGAACACCUGCGGCGAAGGCGGGUUGCUGGGCUGAUACUGACGCUGAUGCGCGAAAGCCAGGGGAGCGAACGGG
rnacentral:rRNA from 1 species